UUUAGGAGGCUUAUAAAAGUUAGAUUGGAGGAAAAAGAUAAGGGUAAAAAACCAGAACCGUAGUUUUUGUGAGUGGAAAGUUGUGAUCAGGAAGGAGAAAGGAUCAACCCAUCUAGCUAGCUGUGGCAAGAAAGAUAUAUGGGGACCAUUAUGAUGAUCUCGUUUCUGAAUAAACGAGCCGCGUUACUACCUCCAAGGAUGGGAAACCUGCAAUUUGGCAGUUUUAUUAAAUCUGGUGGUUACCGUCUUGGAAGAACACGGGGCAAGGCCACGGGGACAUCAAUGGCUGCACAUCACCGGGACAAGGCCACGGGGCGCACCGAGGAGGAGGUCGUGUCCUUGUACGAGGAGUGCACAUCAAAUAGUUGAUUAUAUUUUCAUCUUGAAAGGUUUUCACAUUUUUCAAUUAUAAGAUGUUUAAAAAUUUGUUGACUUCACCAUGAAAUCUUUGAAAUUUCAAUCUUUGAAUAAUGAUUUGAGCUU